UGGUUUUGUGUUCCAAGUAAUUAAUGUUGUCAUUCUAUUCCUCUUGAAACUUUCUUCAGGACUCCAAUGGUAAAAAAGACUAAUGUCUUUUGGUACUUACAUUCUUUUAUAGGUUGAUGGCACUCUUAUGCCACCAGAUGGACCUGAUUUGUGGCUAGAUAGUAACAGUAAGCACCAAUGGCUUAUCUUCUACAGAAUCAAUGAAAUAUCACUGCAAGGAGGCGGUCUAAUAGAUGGGAGAGGAAAGAAAUGGGGGGAUCUUCCCUGCAAACCCCACAAGAUUGGCAUUGGAUGGAAUAUAGUUCGGGGAGCAUCAAAGGAUUACAUUUUGAGUUUUUGGAUAUA